GAACGAGAAAGUGGAGCAAUCCAUGAGUAAAGUAGCGACCGGGUGAGUAACACGUGACUACCUGCCCUUGAGUGGGGGAUAACCUCGGGAAACCGAGGCUAAUACCGCAUAACAUCGCAAGAUCAAAGGAGCAAUCCGCUUUUGGAGGGGGUCGCGGCUGAUUAGCUAGUUGGUAGGGUAAUGGCCUACCAAGGCGAAGAUCGGUAUCCGGCCUGAGAGGGCGCACGGACACACUGGAACUGAAACACGGUCCAGACUCCUACGGGAGGCAGCAGUGGGGAAUUUUGCGCAAUGGGGGAAACCCUGACGCAGCAACGCCGCGUGGAGGAUGAAGCCCCUUGGGGCGUAAACUCCUUUCGACUGGGAAGAUUAUGACGGUACCAGUGGAAGAAGCACCGGCUAACUCUGUGCCAGCAGCCGCGGUAAUACAGAGGGUGCGAGCGUUGUUCGGAAUUAUUGGGCGUAAAGGGCGCGUAGGCGGUGUUGUAAGUCACCUGUGAAACCUCUGGGCUUAACUCAGAGCCUGCAGGCGAAACUGCAAUGCUGGAGGGUGGGAGAGGUGCGUGGAAUUCCCGGUGUAGCGGUGAAAUGCG
rnacentral:rRNA from 1 species